rnacentral:rRNA from 1 species
UACGAAGGGUGCAAGCGUUACUCGGAAUUACUGGGCGUAAAGCGUGCGUAGGUGGUUCGUUAAGUCUGAUGUGAAAGCCCUGGGCUCAACCUGGGAAUGGCAUUGGAAACUGGCGACCUAGAGUGCGGUAGAGGGUAGUGGAAUUCCCGGUGUAGCAGUGAAAUGCGUAGAGAUCGGGAGGAACAUCCGUGGCGAAGGCGGCACUCUGGGCCGGUACUGACGCUGAGGAGCGAAAGCGUGGGGAGCAAACAGG